UCACCCCAGUCUGAGGUCAAAAGCUCUCUGAAGCAGGUUUUCAUCCAAGAUGUCUCUGUACAGUUCUGCAUUCAUCUUGCCCUCAAUCCCGACUAACCUGCCAGUUCCUGCUGCUGAAAAACAUCUCCACAGCAUGAUGCUGCCAUCACCACGCUUUACUUGUAGAGAUGAUCCCU